UCGAUGGUAGGUUAUGCGCCUACCAUGGUUGUAACGGGUAACGGGGAAUCAGGGUUCGAUUCCGGAGAGGGAGCCUGAGAAACGGCUACCACAUCCAAGGAAGGCAGCAGGCACGCAAAUUACCCAAUCCCAGAACGGGGAGGUAGUGACGAAAAAUAACAAUACGGGACUCUUAUGAGGCCCCGUAAUUGGAAUGAGAACAAUCUAAAUCCUUUAACGAGGAUCUAUUGGAGGGCAAGUCUGGUGCCAGCAGCCGCGGUAAUUCCAGCUCCAAUAGCGUAUAUUAAAGUUGUUGUGGUUAAAAAGCUCGUAGUUGGAUCUCAGUUCGAGUCAGGCGGUCCACUUGCCAGUGGCUACUGCCUGACUGAACACUUUACCGAGUUGUCCUAUGGUGUUCUUCACCGAGCGUCAUAGGCGAUCGGUACGUUUACUUUGAAAAAAAUUAGAGUGCUCAAAGCAGGCGUAACGCCCGAAUAAUGUUGCAUGGAAUAAUGGAAUAGGACCUCGGUUCUAUUUUGUUGGUCUUCGGAAUCAGAGGUAAUGAUCAAUAGGGACAGACGGGGACAUUCGUAUUGCGGCGCUAGAGGUGAAAUUCUUGGACCGUCGCAAGACGAACUAAAGCGAAAGCAUUUGUCAAGAAUGUUUUCAUUAAUCAAGAACGAAAGUUAGAGGUUCGAAGGCGAUCAGAUACCGCCCUAGUUCUAACCAUAAACGAUGCCAACCAGUAAUUCGUCUGAGUUCCUUAAAUGACUCGACGAGGGACUUCCGGGAAACCAAAGUCUUUCGGUUCCAGGGGAAGUAUGGUUGCAAAGCUGAAACUUAAAGAAAUUGACGGAAGGGCACCACCAGGAGUGGAGCCUGCGGCUUAAUUUGACCCAACACGGGAAAACUCACCCGGCCCGGACACUGGAAGGAUUGACAGAUUGAGAGCUCUUUCUUGAUUCAGUGGGUGGUGGUGCAUGGCCGUUCUUAGUUGGUGGAGUGAUUUGUCUGGUUAAUUCCGAUAACGAACGAGACUCUAGCCUACUAAAUAGAUCGUCGGCUUACAAACGCCGGCGAGACUUCUUAGAGGGGCAGGCGGUGAUUCAACCGCACGAAACAGAGCAAUAACAGGUCUGUGAUGCCCUUAGAUGUCCGGGGCCGCACGCGCGCUACACUGAAGUGAUCAGCGUGCUUUUUCAACCUACUCUGUCAAGAGUGGGGAACCCAAUGAACCUUCUUCGUGAUUGGGAUAGGGGAUUGUAAUUAUUCCCCUUGAACGAGGAAUUCCCAGUAAGCGCGAGUCAUAAGCUCGCGUUGAUUACGUCCCUGCCCUUUGUACACACCGCCCGUCGCUACUACCGAUUGAAUGUUUUAGUGAGGUCUUCGGACUGGCCGGCGCAGCACUCUCGUAGUGCAGCGCUGUGUUUGGAAAGAUGCCCAAACUUGAACAUUUAGAGGAAGUAAAAGUCGUAACAAGGUU
rnacentral:rRNA from 1 species